CCAGCAGGACACUACGACCAGCGGGAGGGACAGCGGCACAGUGUCUGAAUAGCGGGACUGUCCCGAUGAAAUCGGGACAGUUGGGAGAUUCUGCUGCUCUGCAAACUCCGCCAUCUCCGCCAUGGUAAUGGAAAUAUAGGUGGAAAGAAAACUGCAUAGCACUGUGAAAUGGAUUGUAAUCUUUGCCUCUGCCAUAUUGUGCUGCAAAAAUGAAAACCAGCAAGAGCAUGCAUUAUUAAUAUUAAGUACAGAUGGAAGUGACUUGACAGUAAGAUGAAUUACAUCACAGGCUUAUGGUUGCAAAGAGGAUGACGAAAAGCAAAGAUAAAAUAAAAUGGUUUCAAUAAUACUAGUCAGAACUGACUUUU